rnacentral:ribozyme from 1 species
UUUUUUUUUUUUUUUUUUUUUUUUCUUAUCCUUUUCACUGUCUGCCCGUUUCUGGUUGAUCACCAUA